rnacentral:rRNA from 1 species
AUCCUUCGGGUGACGGAUCGGAUGGAGAGCGGCGGACGGGUGAGUAACGCGUAGGUAACCUGCCUCAUACAGGGGGAUAACAGUUAGAAAUGACUGCUAAUACCGCAUAAGACCACAGCACCGCAUGGUGCAGGGGUAAAAACUCCGGUGGUAUGAGAUGGACCCGCGUCUGAUUAGCUGGUUGGUGGGGUAACGGCUCACCAAGGCGACGAUCAGUAGCCGACCUGAGAGGGUGAUCGGCCACAUUGGGACUGAGACACGGCCCAGACUCC